CAAAAGCUUGGUCCUGACUUUACUAUCAGCUUUAGCCAAAUUUACACAUGCAAGUCUCCGCCCCCCUGUGAGGAUGCCCUACAUUCCCCGCCCUGGAAUAAGGAGCCGGUAUCAGGCACAAACACUGUUAGCCCACGACACCUUGCUUAGCCACACCCCUAAGGGAACUCAGCAGUGAUAAAUAUUAAACCAUAAGUGAAAACUUGAUUUAGUUAAAGCUUAGAGGGCCGGUAAAACUCGUGCCAGCAACCGCGGUUAUACGAGAGGCCCAAGUUGAUAUGCAUCGGCGUAAAGCGUGGUUAAGACUGUAUAAAACUAGAGCCGAAUAUCUUCAAGACUGUUAUACGUACCCGAAGAUGAGAAGUCCAAUAACGAAAGUAGCCUUAGUAUAACUGAACCCACGAAAGCCACGGUACAAACUGGGAUUAGAGACCCCACUAUGCUUGGCCGUAAACUUUGAUAGUACUACUACACCCACUAUCCGCCCGGGGACUACGAGCAUUAGCUUAAAACCCAAAGGACUUGGCGGUGCUUUAGACCCCCCUAGAGGAGCCUGUUCUAGAACCGAUGACCCCCGUUCAACCUCACCUUUUCUUGUUAAACCCGCCUAUAUACCGCCGUCGUCAGCUUACCCCGUAAGGGACAAACAGUAAGCAAAAUUGGCAUAGCCCAAAACGUCAGGUCGAGGUGUAGCGUAUGGAAAGGGAAGAAAUGGGCUACAUUCCCUGAAGAAGGGUACACGAACGAUGAACUGAAACAAUCAUCUAAAGGAGGAUUUAGCAGUAAGUAGGAAGUAGAGUGUCCUACUGAAACUGGCCCUGAAGCGCGCACACACCGCCCGUCACUCUCCCCAAAAACCGUAGUAAAACACAUAAAUAAAACCCUAUUAAUAUAAAGGGGAGGCAAGUCGUAACAUGGUAAGUGUACUGGAAAGUGCACUUGGAAAAU
rnacentral:ncRNA from 1 species